UGUAAUUUACAACCUAAUUAACUACAUUCAGAUACAUAUAUAUAACCUAAUUUACAACCUAAUUAACUACAUUCAGAUCCAUAUGCAUGUUCAUAUAUUGUGUCCUAUGAUCAUAUACAUAUAAUAACUAACAGAAUAUACAUAAUAUGCACUAGCUACCAUAUAAUAUUCAGAUCCCUUGCCCAGCAGCAAGCUAUUUCCCAGAAAAUCAAAUAAUUUGCAUGUCAAGCACAUACUGACACCAGUCUUCCUUUAAUUCCAUUAGAUCUUCCUCAGAAUAUGAUGGACUGGAAUUGUCAAAGUACUGCAA
rnacentral:lncRNA from 1 species